rnacentral:lncRNA from 1 species
AACUUUCAAAAUUGAAUACAAACAUAAAUCAGUGCAACUUCAUGUAAUCUCCCUAUUUUACAGAUGGAGAAACUGAGGCACAGAAAACACAAGUGACUUGGAGUGUCACUGUCAGAGCUGGGAAGAAAUUCCAGGAGUAGAGUCCCCUGCAGUAUCCACUGGACAUCUCCCUUGUGCAGGUCUGCAUAUCUGCAUAUUUUUUGGAAUCAGGUGGUGUUUUCAGUGUGGCAUAUCAUGUAAUUGUGUUGAGUAUAUCUGGAAUGUUAAACACUUAUUUUGAGUUGUAAGCCUUUUGACCCAGUGCCAAUAAUUAUGUGCUAUUGGGAGGCAGGUUUAGAGAGAGAAUUAAUGAUAAUAAUUAUUAACAAUGAGAUUUGCCUAAAUUUUAAAGCUGUCAUUAAAUUGUUUUGCCCUUUCUUUACUGGUAUCUAAUUUUUGCUCACUAUAUUUCCAAUAUAUUUUACUAAGAUAUAAUACAUGUGGAGUUUAUAUUGGAAUAUGUCAAAAAUCACAAUUUCCCUUGCAUUCCAUGUCUGCUUGGAAACACUGACUUAAAUACAACUGCUCGAGUUUCGGCAUGUUUAAAUGUACCUUCUUGAAUGAAGAAAAACUGCACAGCCAAUGAAAAGAGUAUUGCCUAAUGACGAGAUGUUAUCGCCUGCAUUGAGGAGCAUUUCAGAUGGGUUGUGUAGAGGCAGAAUCCAAGUAGAUAUGUUCCUAUUUUCUCACCGAGAGCCUGAUCCUACUCCAAAUGAACCCAGUGGAAAGACUCCCAGUGACUCAAGUGCACUACACAGGUGAGCAAACAGUCUGCCCCUACAUUUUUAUUACCUGGGCUAGUUUAAGACCCGAGCCAUCUCCCACUGAAGUCAAUGGGAGCUUUGCAUUUUCAGUGGGAGUUGGAUGAGGCACUUAGUGGGAUUGAUUUCAGUGGGAUUCUUCAGGUGACUAAUUGCUUACCCAUGUGUAUAAGAGCUUUAUAAUCUGCCCCAUAGUCUUUUACCAUUUGAGUACUAUGUGGAUACCAGUAAGUAAACAGCCAGAGCCUUAGAAUUCUGUUAUCUGUGUACUGCACCUUUAAAUGUGAGGAGUCUUUCUCCUUGCCUACUGGUAUAGACAGGGCCGGCUCCAGCUUUUUUGCCUCCCCAAGCGGCGAAGAAAAAAUAAAUAAAUAAAAAGAUAAAGCCGCGAUCGGCGG